AGUGGCGGACGGGUGAGUAACGCGUGAGAAUCUGCCUUGGGGUCGGGGACAACCACUGGAAACGGUGGCUAAUACCGGAUAAGCCGAUUGGUGAAAGAUUUAUUGCCCGAAGAGGAGCUCGCGUCUGAUUAGCUAGUUGGUGAGGUAAGAGCUCACCAAGGCAGCGAUCAGUAGCUGGUCUGAGAGGACGAUCAGCCACACUGGGACUGAGACACGCCCCAGACUCCUACGGGAGGCAGCAGUGGGGAAUUUUCCGCAAUGGGCGAAAGCCUGACGGAGCAAGACCGCGUGAGGGAGGAAGGCUCUUGGGUUGUAAACCUCUUUUCUCAGGGAAGAAGCUCUGACGGUACCUGAGGAAUCAGCCUCGGCUAACUCCGUGCCAGCAGCCGCGGUAAUACGGAGGAGGCAAGCGUUAUCCGGAAUUAUUGGGCGUAAAGCGUCCGCAGGUGGCGAUUCAAGUCUGCUGUCAAAGCACGGGGCUUAACUCCGUAAAGGCAGUGGAAACUGAAUAGCUAGAGUGCCGUAGGGGUAGAGGGAAUUCCCGGUGUAGCGGUGAAAUGCGUAGAGAUCGGGAAGAACAUCGGUGGCGAAAGCGCUCUACUGGACGGCAACUGACACUCAGGGACGAAAGCUAGGGGAGCGAAUGGGAUUAGAUACCCC
rnacentral:rRNA from 1 species